UCCCAGCCCUCAUUUAAGGGUUGGCAGUGGAAGGAAUGGUAUCUCUUGUUGGAGGUCCUUGUGGAAUUUGUGGUCUUCUGAAGGUAUGCUGAAAUACUGCCUGCUAUGAAGAGAAAUCACCUGGAGGAAUUGCUGUCAGCAGGCUGAUGUCCCUCCUUUCUUAUACAAAGGAUUUUAACAAUCUUGUUAUAUAGGACUGAAUAAGCAAAUGUAUGGGCUCUUCUCUGCACUUUCUGCUUUUCUGAAUAUCUUGCUGUUUUGUUCUGCGGCCUCUUUGAAAUUAAGUUGAGCAGAUGUUAGAGAUCAAGGUCAGCUGAGAAACUUCUGAUGCAGUAUCUGUCUAUGGAAAGAGCUGUUGGCAUUAACCCCCUGAAUGGGUCAGAAGAGAUACGGAUAAACUGAAGGCAAAUGAGGAGAGCAGAUUGCUCAUGGUGUGCUGAAUGCUUUGAUGUGGCAAGGUACUGCAGUUCUUCACAUCUUGGAUGCACUACAUGCAUCGUAUGGACACAUAUGUCCUGAGUGUUUCACCUCAUUCACCAAACAGCAGGAAGGUUACGCACAGUAGAAAACAUCUUCUUCCAGAAGACCUUGAAAAACUGUUGGAAUGAUGACGUCCUACAGAAGCUGUGCUGUGCUUGAGGAUAUCCUUGGAAUGAGAAACACAUCUAAGAUUCAAGUCCAAGUUCAAUGUGGUUGUUGAAGAGCAUCAAUGUUCAAGCUCCUUUUUUGCAUCAGGCUUCUUCAGUUCUGAAAACGUCAGAUUCCAGCUGCAAGCUUAAGAAGCAGCUGGAUAUAAGUGAUGUGCCCUAUAAUGUGUUCAAAGCUGCUUGUACUGUAACACUUCUGUUUCAAAUAAACUGCUAAUUUUUUUUUUGUUUCAAACUUUUUGAUGGUUUAUCUGGAAAUUGCCCAGUCUAUUUAUACUGAAGUUUCUGUCCUUGAGGAACUGUAAGGGCUGGGUUCUGUUUUGUCCUGUUUUUCUUCUCAUGGUGUAGUGUGCAAGCUUUUCAUUUUGUGUGUGUUAAGAUAUUGCUUGAGAAUGUUAUUACUGGACUACUUCUGGAGUUCAAACUACCUGUGGAAAUAACACAUGCUGUAAUGCUGCUGUUAUACUAUAAUUAUAAUAUAUGCUUUAGAUGUUGUAAUUUUUCUAUUUUUCAGUGUGUCUACCCUAAGGCCAGUGAAAUAAUGUAAUUGAGAACCGCUAGGAUAUCUGAAGCAGUCUAAAGGUUCUGGAUGAGCAGACCAGCUCCUGGAAGUAGGUUUCAUGGGAGACCUAUUAGACAAUAGGUUGAUGAGAAAGCUGCUGGCAGCAGCUAAUGUUUGGGAAACGGGCUGUAUAAUAUAUGUGACAGGGUUUAAAGAGCCCAAGGAUAGCAUUUUGAUUAUGAUAGGGGAGGAAGCUUCAUACCUCCAACUCCUCAGUAUUCCUGUGGGGAGUGUUUUUUGGUUUUUGAAGUGUUUGUCUUCUCUCAGGAAGAGAGGUAGAGCGGUUGGAUAUGUUUGUAGCAUGCCUGCUAUUAUGCAAAACUAUUUUUUUAAUGUAAAACUAUACAUUCUUUUGGAGCAGUUCUGAAGUUACCAUGUAUUAAGCAUUCUUAAUCAUAAUGAAUUGUUAGUUUGUAAUGCUUUGAAAACUAAGAAAAAUCACCUCUGGGACAUCACUACUACUGCUUCUACACAUACAUGAUGGUGCUAUGCUGAUGCAGCCUAUCUGACUAAAGUGAAAUAAUGCUUUCUUUGUAGUGUUUAUAGUGCGGGCCUUAAUCAUACUUUAUUUGUAAACCUAAUCCUAAAGUAAGGAACAAACAAGUUUGUAUUGGUUUGGUUGGCAUCUUCUUGAGCAACAGAUGAGUUUCUUGUAGAACCAGUAUUGCAAAUGAGAAACACUAUCCUGGAUGUUUUACAGCGUGGUCACUGUGACUGAGGAAUCUGUUGAAGACGUGGAAGUGGGAAUCUGUUGAAGACGUGGAAGUGGAUUGCUGCUGGUGGUGUACUUGCACGUAGGGCUGAUCUGUAACAGGAGCUCAGUUACUAAAACCUUGGUGAGAAAAUCUUGGUGAGAAUGCCAAUGGCUGUGGUAACUGAAGCAUAGUGUAAGAGUAUCAAAAUGAUCAAAACACUUUCAAAAACACUUUCAGUUUUGUUUUAAUAACCUAUUAAAUUUCACUAGCAGAUACUGUUGGGGGGGGAAGGAACUUCAAGGCAUGUUUUCAGAGGUUAAUGUUAUUGAAACUUGGGGAAAUAAUUUCCCUGCUCUUAAUCUUCUGUGCAGAAGCUCUUGCACGAGGGACAGUGGAUUGAGUUCCCCAAAGUUUUAAUGCCAGAGUUAAAUGAAAGCCCAGAGAUAAGGGUCUGUCACUGCUUCUGAAGUUGCACUUCUGAUCCAUUCUGUUUUCUAAUUAAUUGUGCUCUGAGAAUACGAGCUUGAAAGUACUGUAAUUUAAAAUUUUAGUUGAAAUAGAAAUAUCCACUAUUGCAGACAGUGUUUGAGACUAAUAGGCUUGCUUUUUUUUUCCUACCCACUAUGGUAAGUUUUUUCAGCAGAGACUUUUAAUUAGCUUUUAUAUUUUACUCCAUUGCUGCUGUUCUCUAUAGGGCAGCAGUAUAAACUGUACAGAACAGGUUAUUUCUAUCUGUGGUACUAGAUCUGCAGAAUUCAAUGCUAUGCUGUGUCAGUGUUGAUCUUAUUCUCCCUACCUCUUAGUAAAUACCUGAGCGGUUGAAUCCAAAUGUGGAGUUAAAUAGCUAAAACCUCUUGGGAAUUGAUCGUGCUGAAUGACCUGGCAAAAGAAAGUCCUGGGCUUGCUGCAUGAAAAAUAUCUGUUAAAAGAAUUUCAUCUUGUUUCAGUAAUGUCACCUUACGUGUGUUUCCAAAGUCCUUGUGAUAGCAUAUCUAGCGCUUGUGCAUUUAAGCAUGAAGGUUUAGAUUUCCUGUGAUGUCAUUGUUAAUGAUGAAUUUCCAGAGUUGUCAUGGUUUUUAUGUUUUGUUAUUGGUAUUCCACAUCAUGACAUGAUGUAGUGCACUGGGAGUUAAAGUUUUAAUGCUCCGCUUCUGUGGAUCGUCGUUAUUUCUGGUAUAGCUGCCUCUGAAGAGAAAGAGAACUAUGUAACCCAGAAGACUGUUUGCUGUUCUGUUUCCAUUCUUCGUUCAGAGGGAAUGACAAAACUGUUCACAGAUCACAAGAUGUCCUCUUUUUCCCUUUCUGUUUGUCUCUGCAGUGUAUGUGCUUCCUAGCUCUCGUCUUCAGCAUUUGAGUAAGACCUUUGGUUUUUGGACACAAUCUCUCUCAUUGUAUGUAUUGGUCUCAAUUCAAAUUGUAUUAUUAUGUUGUCAUGCAUUGUGAUAUCAUAUUUAGUAAACUAACUUUCCUCCUCAGCUUGUUGCUGCUGUUUCAUUUUUAGGUCUAUCUCCCUUUUCUUGCCACUCUUUCCCCUUUCCUGGGGCAUGGGUUUGUGGGUCCCGCUGCCCCAGUAGUCGUGGAACUGCCUGUAAACUGUUCAACAUGGGUACAAAAAAAAAAUGCUUUCAUGCACUAUGCUCUUGCAGAGAUAAACUCUGGAGCAAAUAUCAGCACUAAGCCCCAUGAAAAA